rnacentral:rRNA from 1 species
GACGAACGCUGGCGGCGUGCCUAAUACAUGCAAGUCGAGCGGAUUGAUGGGAGCUUGCUCCCUGAUAUCAGCGGCGGACGGGUGAGUAACACGUGGGCAACCUGCCUAUAAGACUGGGAUAACUUCGGGAAACCGGAGCUAAUACCGGAUAAUCCCUUUCCUCUCAUGAGGAAAGGCUGAAAGAUGGUUUACGCUAUCACUUAUAGAUGGGCCCGCGGCGCAUUAGCUAGUUGGUGAGGUAACGGCUCACCAAGGCAACGAUGCGUAGCCGACCUGAGAGGGUGAUCGGCCACACUGGGACUGAGACACGGCCCAGACUCCUAGGGGGGGCAGCAGUAGGGAAUCUUCCGCAAUGGACGAAAGUCUGACGGAGCAACGCCGCGUGAGUGAUGAAGGUUUUCGGAUCGUAAAACUCUGUUGUUAGGGAAGAACAAGUACGAGAGUAACUGCUCGUACCUUGACGGUACCUAACCAGAAAGCCACGGCUAACUACGUGCCAGCAGCCGCCGUAA